UCCUGCCUCAGCCUCCAGAGCCACUGGGAUGAUUCGCAYGCACCACGGCGCCCAGCUCCGUAUGCAAAAUUACAGAGGACAAAAAAAGAAGAUAGAGAAGAGAGGAGAAUUGCUGGAUCCACAUCCUACUGACUGCAAUCAAGAAGCGACGGGGACCCUGUGAGAGAUGCCAACAUCAUGUCACAACUUUUGAUAAAUCCUCACAUCUACGAUUCCCAGGAUUCAUUCAUUUAUAUGCYAUCUUCUUGAUUUGAUGUGUGUACCAUCUAUAAUAUUACUUUGUCAAUGCUCUUCCUUCAAGAGACUCUUGGUAGAAAUCUGAAAAUUUCCUUAGSCUCAUUCAAAAUAAUGCUAUUCCAGAUAAAACUGACUUAAAUUUCUAGUAAUAWUUUUUUUGGUAAACAUUAAAAUAAGUACAUAACUAUCAAAAUAGAAAAUGUUUGUCCACGUACCUCUGAAAAAUCAUCUCUUGCAUUUGUACCAGGCUUUGGGAACACACCGCACUUGGUUGUCAGGAUCUGAAAGAACAGACAUUUUGGGGGUCUCUGGUGGUCCUGCUGAGCUGGGAGGAGAGAGACAAGGAGUUCAAAAACAUUUGG